AGGGAAAAGCUCAAAUUUAAAAUCUGGCUGUUCUCGUAGCAGUCCGAGUUGUAGUUUAGAGAAGUGUUAUCCGCGCUGGCCUGUGCAAAAGUUUCUUGGAAAAGAACAUCAUAGAGGGUGACAAUCCCGUCUUUGGCACGGACUACCAGGGCUUUUGUGAUGCGCUCUCGAC
rnacentral:rRNA from 1 species